ensembl:lncRNA
GUUAAAUUUUGCAGUUUGGAUGCUUAUAUUGGUGAACUGCCUAGCUGUGUUUACACUGAGUUUAUUAAAUUGAAACCAUUGCUUCAUCCAAAUAUGACCACUUCCAUACUAUAAAAUGUGAUGGACUGAGGACUGGCACAAGAUCCAUGUUUUGCCACCUACAAGUAUUACACUACCAACCACAUUUGCAUCCCAGCAGAAACAAAUGUGACUUGUCAGGAUGGAUUCAGUUACUUGAAAUUUGAUAAAUACUGCAAACUAUGGACGUACAGAUAAAACCACCUGCUCUAAACGACGUCCAUUCGAACAGCUCCAAAACACCAACUGCUCUUCACCCAAUGCACUGGCUCCUGUGUCCAAAAGCUGCAAUGGUCUGGAAAGUUGUGAGGUGUUUGCGACACAUACAGUCUUUACUGAUCGCUGCAUUGGCACAUACAAGUACCUCGCGAUCUCUUAUUUUUGUAGCCUACCUGCAGUUCGCGAGUGUCCGUUAACCUCUCUACUUCCUACUCAUUUCUGUUCAGGAAGUGUUUAGAACAGGGGUCUCCAAACUCUGUCCUGGAGGGCCGGUGUCCUGCAGUGUUUAACUCAAACUUGCCUCAGCACACCAGCCUGGAAGUUUCUAGUAUGCCUAGUAAGAGCUUGAUUAGCUGGUUCAGGUGUGUUUAACUGGGGUUGGAGCUGAAUUCUGCAGGACUCUUAUAGUACACACAAGCCUGUUUUAUUUGAAAGAUUACAGUGUUCACUUUUCUAAACUGUUCUUGCAUCCUCUGUGUUUUUGUAGGUUCAAGUGUGAUCUGUAAACAUGCAAAUAAUACUCUGUGUGGUGUGUAUUAUGCUACAUGAGCACUGCUUAUUUUUCUUUGAGAAAGUAGUAUUACUGUGUUUAUAGCAAAAUUGUAGAGGCUGAUAUUGUGGAUUUGACGAC